ACUGGUGAGUAACGCGUGGGUGACGUACCCUUUGGACGGGGAUAGCUGCUAGAAAUAGCAGAUAAUACCGGAUAAGGUGGCCUGUGUCAGAGGCAGGUCAGGAAAGGAACAUUUGUUCCGCCGAAGGAACGGCUCGCGAGCUAUUAGCUAGUUGGUGAGGUAACGGCCCACCAAGGCGAUGAUAGCUACCCGGCCUAAGAGGGUGAACGGGCACAUUGGGACUGAGAUACGGCCCAGACUCCUACGGGAGGCAGCAGCUAAGAAUAUUCCGCAAUGGACGAAAGUCUGACGGAGCGACGCCGCGUGGAUGAUGAAGGUCGGAAGAUUGUAAAAUCCUUUUAUGACUGAAGAAUAAGUAUGGUGAGAGAAACUCCGUAUGGUGACAGUAGGUCAUGAAUAAGCAACGGCUAAUUACGUGCCAGCAGCCGCGGUAACACGUAAGUUGCGAGCGUUGUUCGGAAUUAUUGGGCGUAAAGGGCAUGCAGGCGGAAUUGCAAGCUUGGUGUGAAAUACCGGGGCUUAACUCCGGAAUAGCAUUGAGAACUGCAAAACUAGAGUCACUGAGGGGCAAUCAGAAUUCCAGGUGUAGGGGUGAAAUCUGUAGAUAUCUGGAAGAAUACCAAUGGCGAAGGCAGGUUACCAGCAGAUGACUGACGCUGAGGUGCGAAGGUGCGGGGAGCAAACAGGAUUAGAGACCCUGGUAGUCCGCACAGUCAAC
rnacentral:rRNA from 1 species